GUGUGUGUGUGUUGACAUCUCCAGCAAUAUCAAACACUUUCCCACGGGUGCACACACACACAGUGAAAAUUCCAUCGCUUUUUCCCAAGCACCAGACAACAGACUAAAUUAAGCCCCCAUAUAUUAACUUGAUUGAUUGACAUGUGUAAUUGGUUGAUUGAUUGACUAGCUGAUAGCAUGGCUGAGCAAUUCAGGAACGCCUUAAGGCAGUGGUUCCCAACCCCAGUCCUCGAGUACCCGGACAAGCACACCUGAUUCAGCUUGUCAACUAAUCAUCGGGCUCUCAAUGAGUUGCAGUGGAAAUAUGGAGAAAAUCUGGGUAGAAACAAAAGACACUGACCAUCAAUGACCAUCGCAAUGUGGGGCUAUUGUUGCUCAUGCAAUGACCCACAGAGAUGCAAGAGUCAGUUAGAACUAAGGUUGUGGGAUCGUAACUCUGAGACAAGGAAUCUGAAUGAAGAAAUGAGGCAUACAAGGUCGCUGAGGCACUAUUCCAGCAGGUCUUCCAGCAUUAUGGCCUUCCGGAGGACGUCGCCUUCAACCGUGGCCCCCAAUUCACAUCACGGGUAUGGAGAGCCUUUAUGAAGAAGCUCCGUGGAGCCCGGUCCAGACCAAAGCUCCUGUGGUUGAUGAGUGGUUCCAGCAUGCAGAAGAAGUGUGGAGCAAUGCUCAGACUCCAGCGCGCCGUCGACUGUCAAAAGGAGUGGGCAGAACCCAACCGCAGUGCGACCCUGUGUCUGGCUUUCUACCAGGAACCCCCCACUCCUCCCACCCUGCAAGAAGCUGAGCCUCUGAUUUGUGGGUCCAUUCAAGGUUCUCCGGAGGGUCAACGAGGUGACAUAUAGGUUACAGCUUCCAAGUGACUAGCGUAUCUCACCUUCUUUUCAAGUCUCUCUUCUCACGCCGGUGGUUCCUGGUCUCCUAGCUGAUGCUGUACACCACGACACCCCUCCACCCCCCCCCCGGACAUCAAGGAGAGUCCAGUCUAUGCCGUCACAUCCCAACUGGACUCCCGACGUCGUGAGGGUCGGCUCCAGUACCUGGUGGACUUGGAGGGGUAUGGCCAAGAGGAGCGUAGUUGGGUUCCACCUUCGCCGUCCGGACCGGCCCAUUUCUUGUUCUUGGGGUCAUCCCUCUGGUCUGCGUCAUCCUGCGGCUGGGGCCACACGUCAGAGAGGGGGGGGAGGGGGGGUGUACUGUCACGUCUUCUCCUGCUCCUCCCCUCCGGUGUUUGACGUUGCCGGUAUACUGACCACCGGUUCUGGGAUCCACCAUUAUGCUCACCUGGCAUCAAUCUUUACGAGCACCUGCACUUCAUCAUGAGGCACACCUGGACUCCAUUACCUCACUUAUAACCUUCCCUAUAUCUGGCACUCCCUUAGGUUCCUUCCCCAGUCAGUAUUGAUCCUGUGUUUAUGCAAAGACGAUAUUGUUACGUUGUCUCGUUCCAUGUUUGUUGUUUUAUUAAACGUUUCACCUACACCUGC